rnacentral:rRNA from 1 species
CCUACGAGAGGCAGCAGUGAGGAAUAUUGGUCAAUGGACGAGAGUCUGAACCAGCCAAGUAGCGUGAAGGAUGACUGCCCUAUGGGUUGUAAACUUCUUUUAUAUGGGAAUAAAAUGUUCCGCGUGUGGGAUUUUGUAUGUACCAUAUGAAUAAGGAUCGGCUAACUCCGUGCCAGCAACCGCGUUAAUACGGAGGGUCCGAGCGUUAUCCGAAUUGAUUGGGUUUAAAGGGAACAUAGGUGGAUUGUUAAGUCAGUUGUGAAAGUUUGCGGCUCAACCAGAAAAUUGCAGUUGAAACUGGCAGUCUUGAGUACAGUAGAGGUGGGCGGAAUUCGUGGUGGAGCGGUGAAAUGCUUAGAUAUCACGAAGAACUCCGAUUGCGAAGGCAGCUCACUGGACUGCAACUGACACUGAGGCUCGAAAGUGUGGGUAUCAAACAGGAUUAGAUACCCGUGUAGUC